rnacentral:rRNA from 1 species
AGAGUUUGAUUAUGGCUCAGGAUGAACGCUGGCGGCGUGCUUAACACAUGCAAGUCGAACGAAGCACAUGAACAGAAUUCUUCGGAAGGAAGAUUAUGUGACUGAGUGGCGGACGGGUGAGUAACGCGUGGAUAACCUGCCGUAUACAGGGGGAUAACAGUUAGAAAUGACUGCUAAUACCGCAUAAGCGCACAGAGUCGCAUGACUCGGUGUGAAAAACUGAGGUGGUAUACGAUGGAUCCGCGUCUGAUUAGGUAGUUGGUGGGGUAAAGGCCCACCAAGCCGACGAUCAGUAGCCGACCUGGGAGGGUGACCGGCCACAUUGGGACUGAGACACGGCCCAA